GGGUAGCAAAUGCGCCAUUCCUCCAUGAACUAUUAAAAGGAAAAUGGAGACAUGCUCCCUAUACUUAGGGUAAAUAAACUAUUUGCGAUAUAAUAAAACCAAAAAAAAAGUAAUUUGACCCAUUAAUGAAGAGACAAAGAAAUGAAGAGCUGAAAAAAAGCUCCAAGAACAGGGGUGGGAAGACAUCUCAGUGUUGUUGCAGAUGUAAUUAUUGAAGAUGAGGUCACUGGCGUCUACUGGAUGACUGCUGUCCUUUCAAAACGAUGACCACAGGGAGAACACGCUGUGAGGACAAAGGCGGAGACUGCAGUAACGCAGCUGCAAGCCAAGGACUGCCAGAGAUUACCAGCAAGCCCCGGAAGCCAGGAAGAGGGAGAAAAGGAUUCCCCUACAGGUUUCAGAGGGAGCAUGAUCCUGAUGGCAUCUUGAUUUCAAACCUCUAGACUCUAGAAGCGUGAGACAACGAGUUUCUGUUGUUUUAAGCCACCCAGUUUAUGGUACUUUGUUAUGGCAGCCCCGGAAACUAAGACACAAGGUCAGAACGUAAAGCAUUUGGGAUUUUGAUGGUUGUCGCCAAAUUACCCACUUCCCAAUAGCGAUCGUCCCAAUUUACACUUUUCGAAGCAACGCAUGAGAAUGCCUGCUUUGCCUCAACCUUACGACACAGCGUAUCAUCAGACCUCUGGGUUUGUGCCAGUUAGGUGAUUUUAAUGUGAGUUUUUCCUAUUCUGAUGAAUUUAAGUACCUUUCGUGUUGGAGAGCCAUCUGUAUUUCCUUUCCUGUGAAAUGUCUUUUUCAUUUUCUUAAUCCAUUUUCGAAAAGGGAUUGUUCAUCUGGCUUUCUUAGCUUCUCUUCUAGGAGCUCUUUAUAUAUUAGAGAGAUUAGCCUUUUGUCUCUGAUCUAAGGCCAGUCUGUCAUUGGUCUUUUAAUUUUCUUUCUGGUUUUUAUGCCACACAAAAAUUUUUGAGACCGGUCAGUUUGCUAGCACUGGUGGAAGCAUUGGAUCGAUAAAGCACUCAACACACUUAGGUUCAUAAUAUGUGUGAUGAAAAAGAAAGUUUACAGAGCACUCUCACCCAGCUCAAGAAUAUAUGGCAUGAUUCCUGGAACAACUUCACCGCUUGAGACACUAUUUACUGGACAUUUCUCAGUGGGGACUAAUGGGACCACGAAGAGAGAAAUGUAUUACAGUUAAAGGAAGUGCUGAGAGGAAAACAUCAGAGAGCAGAACACAUACAAGCACCGAAAUAACUCCAUAGACUGGAAGUCAUUGUUGAAUGGCAAUAACACUGAAAAAAAAAAAAAAAUCAAAGCGAGGG